rnacentral:rRNA from 1 species
GGUUAAGCGACUAAGCGUACACGGUGGAUGCCCUGGCAGUCAGAGGCGAUGAAGGACGUGCUAAUCUGCGAAAAGCGUCGGUAAGGUGAUAUGAACCGUUAUAACCGGCGAUGUCCGAAUGGGGAAACCCAGUGCAAUUCGUUGCACUAUCGUUAACUGAAUACAUAGGUUAACGAGGCGAACCGGGGGAACUGAAACAUCUAAGUACCCCGAGGAAAAGAAAUCAACCGAGAUUCCCCCAGUAGCGGCGAGCGAACGGGGAGCAGCCCAGAGUCUGAAUCAGCUUGUGUGUUAGUGGAACGGUCUGGAAAGUCCGACGGUACAGGGUGAUAGUCCCGUACACCAAAAUGCACAGGUUGUGAACUCGAAGAGUAGGGCGGGACACGUGGUAUCCUGUCUGAAUAUGGGGGGACCAUCCUCCAAGGCUAAAUACUCCUGACUGACCGAUAGUGAACCAGUACCGUGAGGGAAAGGCGAAAAGAACCCCGGCGAGGGGAGUGAAAAAGAACCUGAAACCGUGUACGUACAAGCAGUGGGAGCACCUUCGGGUGUGACUGCGUACCUUUUGUAUAAUGGGUCAGCGACUUAUAUUCUGUAGCAAGGUUAACCGUAUAGGGGAGCCGCAGGGAAACCGAGUCUUAACUGGGCGUUAAGUUGCAGGGUAUAGACCCGAAACCCGGUGAUCUAGCCAUGGGCAGGUUGAAGGUUGGGUAACACUAACUGGAGGACCGAACCGACUAAUGUUGAAAAAUUAGCGGAUGACUUGUGGCUGGGGGUGAAAGGCCAAUCAAACCGGGAGAUAGCUGGUUCUCCCCGAAAGCUAUUUAGGUAGCGCCUCGUGAACUCAUCUUCGGGGGUAGAGCACUGUUUCGGCUAGGGGGUCAUCCCGACUUACCAACCCGAUGCAAACUACGAAUACCGAAGAAUGUUAUCACGGGAGACACACGGCGGGUGCUAACGUCCGUCGUGAAGAGGGAAACAACCCAGACCGCCAGCUAAGGUCCCAAAGUCAUGGUUAAGUGGGAAACGAUGUGGGAAGGCACAGACAGCCAGGAUGUUGGCUUAGAAGCAGCCAUCAUUUAAAGAAAGCGUAAUAGCUCACUGGUCGAGUCGGCCUGCGCGGAAGAUGUAACGGGGCUAAACCAUGCACCGAAGCUGCGGCAGCGACACUAUGUGUUGUUGGGUAGGGGAGCGUUCUGUAAGCCUGCGAAGGUGACCUGUGAGGGUUGCUGGAGGUAUCAGAAGUGCGAAUGCUGACAUAAGUAACGAUAAAGCGGGUGAAAAGCCCGCUCGCCGGAAGACCAAGGGUUCCUGUCCAACGUUAAUCGGGGCAGGGUGAGUCGACCCCUAAGGCGAGGCCGAAAGGCGUAGUCGAUGGGAAACAGGUUAAUAUUCCUGUACUUGGUGUUACUGCGAAGGGGGGACGGAGAAGGCUAUGUUAGCCGGGCGACGGUUGUCCCGGUUUAAGCAUGUAGGCUGGUUAUCCAGGCAAAUCCGGAUAAUCAAGGCUGAGGUGUGAUGACGAGGCACUACGGUGCUGAAGUAACAAAUGCCCUGCUUCCAGGAAAAGCCUCUAAGCAUCAGGUAACAUCAAAUCGUACCCCAAACCGACACAGGUGGUCAGGUAGAGAAUACCAAGGCGCUUGAGAGAACUCGGGUGAAGGAACUAGGCAAAAUGGUGCCGUAACUUCGGGAGAAGGCACGCUGGUGUGUAGGUGAAGCCCCUGCGGGUGGAGCUGAGACCAGUCGAAGAUACCAGCUGGCUGCAACUGUUUAUUAAAAACACAGCACUGUGCAAACACGAAAGUGGACGUAUACGGUGUGACGCCUGCCCGGUGCCGGAAGGUUAAUUGAUGGGGUUAUCCGUAAGGAGAAGCUCUUGAUCGAAGCCCCGGUAAACGGCGGCCGUAACUAUAACGGUCCUAAGGUAGCGAAAUUCCUUGUCGGGUAAGUUCCGACCUGCACGAAUGGCGUAAUGAUGGCCAGGCUGUCUCCACCCGAGACUCAGUGAAAUUGAACUCGCUGUGAAGAUGCAGUGUACCCGCGGCAAGACGGAAAGACCCCGUGAACCUUUACUAUAGCUUGACACUGAACAUUGAGCCUUGAUGUGUAGGAUAGGUGGGAGGCUUUGAAGCGUGGACGCCAGUCUGCGUGGAGCCAACCUUGAAAUACCACCCUUUAAUGUUUGAUGUUCUAACGUUGGCCCCUUACCGGGGUUGCGGACAGUGUCUGGUGGGUAGUUUGACUGGGGCGGUCUCCUCCCAAAGCGUAACGGAGGAGCACGAAGGUUAGCUAAUCCUGGUCGGACAUCAGGAGGUUAGUGCAAUGGCAUAAGCUAGCUUGACUGCGAGCGUGACGGCGCGAGCAGGUGCGAAAGCAGGUCAUAGUGAUCCGGUGGUUCUGAAUGGAAGGGCCAUCGCUCAACGGAUAAAAGGUACUCCGGGGAUAACAGGCUGAUACCGCCCAAGAGUUCAUAUCGACGGCGGUGUUUGGCACCUCGAUGUCGGCUCAUCACAUCCUGGGGCUGAAGUAGGUCCCAAGGGUAUGGCUGUUCGCCAUUUAAAGUGGUACGCGAGCUGGGUUUAGAACGUCGUGAGACAGUUCGGUCCCUAUCUGCCGUGGGCGCUGGAGAAUUGAGGGGGGCUGCUCCUAGUACGAGAGGACCGGAGUGGACGCAUCACUGGUGUUCGGGUUGUCAUGCCAAUGGCACUGCCCGGUAGCUAAAUGCGGAAGAGAUAAGUGCUGAAAGCAUCUAAGCACGAAACUUGCCCCGAGAUGAGUUCUCCCUGAGACUUUAAGUCUCCUGAAGGAACGUUGAAGACGACGACGUUGAUAGGCCGGGUGUGUAAGCGCAGCGAUGCGUUGAGCUAACCGGUACUAAUGAACCGUGAGGCUUAACCUU